CCGGCGUGAGUGAUGAAGGCCUUCGGGUUGUAAAGCUCUGUGGGGAGAGAAGAAUAAGUGCGGGCUAAUACUCCGCAUGAUGACGGUAUCUCCUUAGCAAGCACCGGCUAACUCUGUGCCAGCAGCCGCGGUAAGACAGAGGGUGCAAACGUUGUUCGGAAUUACUGGGCGUAAAGCGAGUGUAGGCGGUUUGGAUAGUCGGAUGUGAAAGCCCCGGGCUCAACCCGGGAAGUGCAUUCGAUACUCCCAAGCUAGAGUAUCGGAGAGGUUGGUGGAAUUCUCGGUGUAGAGGUGAAAUUCGUAGAUAUCGAGGGGAACACCGGUGGCGAAGGCGGCCAACUGGACGAAUACUGGCGCUGAGACUCGAAAGCGUGGGGAGCAAACAGGAUUAGAUACCCUGGUAGUCCACGCCGUAAACGAUGGGUGCUAGGUGUCGCGGGCUUUGACUCCUGCGGUGCCGCAGCUAACGCAUUAAGCACCCCGCCUGGGAAGUACGGCCGCAAGGCUA
rnacentral:rRNA from 1 species